CUUCUUUUGGUGGGGACCAGGCAUUCCGUCCUUUUCCCCACUAGAUACAGAGGCAGAUGGAAAGGGACCUAGCCCUCCAGGUGUGGCUUCCCAUCCACAGAUUCACUCCUCAAGAACCAGG